rnacentral:tRNA from 1 species
GGGCUGGGGCUCAGCGGUAGAGUGCUUGUCUUGUGUGUGUGUGAGGCCCUGGGUUCGAUCCCCAGCACCACA